GACGAACGCUGGCGGCGUGCCUAAUACAUGCAAGUAGAACGCUGAAGAGGGGAGCUUGCUCUUCUUGGAUGAGUUGCGAACGGGUGAGUAACGCGUAGGUAACCUGCCUUGUAGCGGGGGAUAACUAUUGGAAACGAUAGCUAAUACCGCAUAACAAUGGAUGACACAUGUCAUUUAUUUGAAAGGGGCAAUUGCUCCACUACAAGAUGGACCUGCGUUGUAUUAGCUAGUAGGUGAGGUAAUGGCUCACCUAGGCGACGAUACAUAGCCGACCUGAGAGGGGGUGCGGCCACCCUGGGACGGGGACACGCCCCAGACCCCUCCGGGGGGAGCAAGGAGGGAAUCUUGGCAAAGGGGGCCACCCCUGACGGACAACGGCGCGGGGGGGGAAAAGGUUUGUCGGAUCAAAAAGCUUGUUUUAAAGCAAAGAGGGGGGGUGGGAGUGAAAAGUCCACACUGUGACGGUGCCUAAAAAAAAAGGGCCGGCAAACUCGGUG
rnacentral:rRNA from 1 species